UACGGAGGGUGCGAGCGUUGUCCGGAUUUAUUGGGUUUAAAGGGUGCGUAGGCGGCCCAUUAAGUCAGCGGUGAAAGCCCGGGGCUCAACCCCGGAACCGCCGUUGAUACUGGUGGGCUUGAGUAUGGACGAGGUUGGCGGAAUUGAGGGUGUAGCGGUGAAAUGCUUAGAUACCCUCAAGAACACCGAUUGCGUAGGCAGCUAACUAGGCCAUAACUGACGCUGAGGCACGAAAGCGUGGGGAGCGAACAGG
rnacentral:rRNA from 1 species